rnacentral:rRNA from 1 species
GAUGAACGCUGGCGGCGUGCCUAAUACAUGCAAGUCGAGCGAACAGACGAGGAGCUUGCUCCUCUGACGUUAGCGGCGGACGGGUGAGUAACACGUGGAUAACCUACCUAUAAGACUGGGAUAACUUCGGGAAACCGGAGCUAAUACCGGAUAAUAUAUUGAACCGCAUGGUUCAAUAGUGAAAGACGGUUUUGCUGUCACUUAUAGAUGGAUCCGCGCCGCAUUAGCUAGUUGGUAAGGUAACGGCUUACCAAGGCAACGAUGCGUAGCAGACCUGAGAGGGUGAUCGGCCACACUGGAACUGAGGCACGGUCCAGACUCCUACGGGAGGCAGCAGUAGGGAAUCUUCCGCAAUGGGCGAAAGCCUGACGGAGCAACGCCGCGUGAGUGAUGAAGGUCUUCGGAUCGUAAAACUCUGUUAUUAGGGAAGAACAAAUGUGUAAGUAACUAUGCACGUCUUGACGGUACCUAAUCAGAAAGCCACGGCUAACUACGUG